rnacentral:rRNA from 1 species
UACGUAGGGUGCAAGCGUUGUCCGGAAUUAUUGGGCGUAAAGAGCUCGUAGGCGGUCUGUCGCGUCUGCUGUGAAAACUCAGGGCUUAGCCCUGAGCUUGCAGUGGGUACGGGCAGACUAGAGUGCGGUAGGGGAGACUGGAAUUCCUGGUGUAGCGGUGAAAUGCGCAGAUAUCAGGAGGAACACCGGUGGCGAAGGCGGGUCUCUGGGCCGUAACUGACGCUGAGGAGCGAAAGCAUGGGGAGCGAACAGG